GGCGGCCGCGUGCCAGCCCCGGUCGCCGGUCGGAUGUUAGUCUGUCUCUGGUCGCGCAUGCGGUCGUACGUAGCACGCAGCACGGCCCUGCACGCGGUCUUCCUUCUCUAACUGAUCGAGACCGCCUUCCGAAUUCCGAUACCUCGAUCGAACGGGUCACUGAACGCUAUCAUCUGCGCUUCAUUUGGUACUUUGAUUAUUUACGUUCGAAUGAAGGAGCUCAGUUUAAUGGGCUUAGCGGUGAUGAACUUUCAGAUUUUGUGUGUAUUAUUGUGCUUAGGUUACUGACGCCGGUAAUUCAAUUAGGCUUAUAUUCGCACUUACGCAGUGUUGAGGAUUUACCUCGGUUUAACACGUUUUUUUUAAUUAAUCAAUUCAGUACUCGUAGUUGAAACGAAACUCAAUAAAAAUUAAAUUAAAUUUAAAACCCACUGAGAAAAAA